rnacentral:rRNA from 1 species
AUUGAACGCUGGCGGCAGGCUUAACACAUGCAAGUCGAGCGGGGGAAGGUAGCUUGCUACCGGACCUAGCGGCGGACGGGUGAGUAAUGCUUAGGAAUCUGCCUAUUAGUGGGGGACAACAUCUCGAAAGGGAUGCUAAUACCGCAUACGUCCUACGGGAGAAAGCAGGGGAUCUUCGGACCUUGCGCUAAUAGAUGAGCCUAAGUCGGAUUAGCUAGUUGGUGGGGUAAAGGCCUACCAAGGCGACGAUCUGUAGCGGGUCUGAGAGGAUGAUCCGCCACACGGGGACUGAGACACGGCCCAGACUCCUACGGGAGGCAGCAGUGGGGAAUAUUGGACAAUGGGGGGAACCCUGAUCCAGCCAUGCCGCGUGUGUGAAGAAGGCCUUAUGGUUGUAAAGCACUUUAAGCGAGGAGGAGGCUACUUUAGUUAAUACCUAGAGACAGUGGACGUUACUCGCAGAAUAAGCACCGGCUAACUCUGUGCCAGCAGCCGCGGAAA